rnacentral:lncRNA from 1 species
AAACAGACCGUGUGAGACACACGACUUGCAUAGGGGUAUGUUGUUAGGUCGUGUGUCUCCUGCACCUAAAAUGCUACAAACAGAUUGCCACACGGGCUGAGUAUACGGGCGUGUAACUUGACCGUGCGAAAUUAGUUAGCCAUGAGUGAAUUGACAGAGAGUUACAUGGGCAGAGAACACGGGCAUGUUAAAAAGGGUACAUGGGCGUGUUCCCUAAACCACACGGGCGUGUGGUACUGUUCAUAGAAGAAGAUUUUGAAAUUUCACGAAAAAUUUUCCAAGCUUCUGACCGAGCCCCGAUUUGUUUUAAAUGUACUUUUUAAGUAUUGAGGGCCC